rnacentral:rRNA from 1 species
GACGAACGCUGGCGGCGUGCUUAACACAUGCAAGUCGAACGGAAAGGCCCUGCUUUUGUGGGGUGCUCGAGUGGCGAACGGGUGAGUAACACGUGAGUAACCUGCCCUUGACUUUGGGAUAACUUCAGGAAACUGGGGCUAAUACCGGAUAGGAGCUCCUGCUGCAUGGUGGGGGUUGGAAAGUUUCGGCGGUUGGGGAUGGACUCGCGGCUUAUCAGCUUGUUGGUGGGGUAGUGGCUUACCAAGGCUUUGACGGGUAGCCGGCCUGAGGGGGUGACCGGCCACAUUGGGACUGAGAUACGGCACGGCCUCCUACGGGAGGCAGCAGUGGGGAUUAUUGCAGAAUGGGCGGAAGCCUGAUGCAGCAACGCCGCGUGCGGGAUGACGGCCUUCGGGUGGUAAACCGCUUUCGCCGGUGACGAAGCGUGAGUGACGGUAAUGGGUAAAGAAGCACCGGCUAACUACGUG